GUGAGUUUUAAAAUAAAACAAGAAGAGGAUCAAACGGUUGGUUUCAUCGUGGGAGAAAAAAACACAGGAAAACUACCAGGAGGUCAUUCAGCUGCAAGGUUACAAAAAGGAUGACUCGAAGUGUCUUAAAAUAUCGAUCAUCCAUAUCAAAGGUUUGGCAUUACCAUUGCUUAAUUUUCCUUUGGCAUUACCAUACGUCAGUCACUGAAAAGUUUUGGCAACUUGGGGGUGUCAGUGUGUGGAUACGCAUAAUAGUGAGUGUUUUUUCCUUUUAGGUUGAGUAAUGAUCUCCGAUGUGGUGCCAGUAAAAGUCUAGAAAAGAAAACAUCGCCUUGAAAAUGUCCCGAUAUGGUAGGCACUCCUCCCAAUAUUUGCUUUGUGAUAGAUAAUACUGGUGAUAAUCUAUUAUGCUUUGUUAGUUAGGUGCAUACUGAUAGUGUUGAAAGAUGAGCAGAGUCGUUUCCAUGAAAUUAUAGACUGAGGUCCAACUUAAAUGGUCGAAGAGUGUAGUAUACUAGCUCUCAAGCUUAAUGAGAUAAUUGAGGACGUGUUCAUGUAAAUUUUGGAACUGUGCUUUUGCAGUUUAAGGUGCUUACUAAAAACAUAGUCUUGCUUUGUA